AACGAACGCUGGCGGCAGGCCUAACACAUGCAAGUCGAACGCUCCAGCAAUGGAGAGUGGCAGACGGGUGAGUAACGCGUGGGAACCUUCCCUAUGGUUCGGAAUAGCCCAGGGAAACUUGGGGUAAUACCGAAUAAGCCCUUCGGGGGAAAGAUUUAUCGCCACUGGAUGGGCCCGCGUCGGAUUAGCUAGUUGGUGGGGUAACGGCCUACCAAGGCGACGAUCCGUAGCUGGUCUGAGAGGAUGAUCAGCCACACUGGGACUGAGACACGGCCCAGACUCCUACGGGAGGCAGCAGUGGGGAAUAUUGGACAAUGGGCGCAAGCCUGAUCCAGCCAUGCCGCGUGAGUAACGAAGGCCUUAGGGUUGUAAAGCUCUUUUGGCGGGGAAGAUAAUGACGGUACCCGCAGAAUAAGCUCCGGCUAACUUCGUGCCAGCCGCCGCGGUAAAAC
rnacentral:rRNA from 1 species